rnacentral:rRNA from 1 species
UACGGGGGGGCAAGCGUUGUUCGGAAUUACUGGGCGUAAAGGGCUCGUAGGUGGCCAACUAAGUCAGACGUGAAAUCCCUCGGCUUAACCGGGGAACUGCGUCUGAUACUGGAUGGCUUGAGUUUGGGAGAGGGAUGCGGAAUUCCAGGUGUAGCGGUGAAAUGCGUAGAUAUCUGGAGGAACACCGGUGGCGAAGGCGGCCCACUGGAUCGGUACUGACGCUGAGGUGCGAAAGCGUGGGGAGCAAACAGG